UGUAGAUGAAAUUAGGACACUUCUUGCCUAU
rnacentral:piRNA from 1 species